rnacentral:rRNA from 1 species
AAAUUGAAGAGUUUGAUCAUGGCUCAGAUUGAACGCUGGCGGCAGGCCUAACACAUGCAAGUCGAACGGUAACAGGAAGCAGCUUGCUGCUUUGAUGACGAGUGGCGGACGGGUGAGUAAUGUCUGGGAAACUGCCUGAUGGAGGGGGAUAACCUGUCUCUUAUACACAUCUCCGAGCCCACGAGACACUGAGCGAUCUCGGAGGCCUGAUUGGGCUUGAAAAACGGGGGGGGGGGGGGGGGGGGGGGGG